rnacentral:rRNA from 1 species
AUUGAACGCUAGCGGGAUGCUUUACACAUGCAAGUCGAACGAUUGGAGGACGUGUGAGUAAUAUAUCGGAACGUGCCCAGUAGCGGGGGAUAACUACUCGAAAGAGUGGCUAAUACCGCAUACCAUUGGAGCGGCAGAUAUCGGAUUAGCUAGUUGGUGGGGUAAAGGCUCACCAAGGCAACGCUCCGUAGAUGGUUUGAGAGGACGACCAGCCACAUUGGGACUGGGACAGGGCCCAGACUCCUACGGGAGGCAGAAGGGGGGAAUUUUGGACAAUGGGGGAAGCCCUGAUCCAGCCAUCCCGGGGGUAGGAGAAGGCCUGCGGGUGGUAAAGUAUGUUUGGCGAGGAAGCGGUAUCUGCAGAAUAAGCACCGGCUAACUACGUGCCAGCAGCCGCGGUAAUUC